rnacentral:rRNA from 1 species
AGAGUUUGAUCCUGGCUCAGGAUGAACGCUGGCGGCGUGCCUUAUGCAUGCAAGUCGAACGGACGUUAGGGCUUCGGCCUUAACGUUAGUGGCGAACGGGUGAGUAACACGUAUGCAACCUAUCCGAAUGUGGGGGAUAACUCGCCGAAAGGCGGACUAAUACCGCAUGUGGUCGCCGGUGAGAACCCGGUGGACAAAAGCCGCAAGGCGCGUUCGGAGGGGCGUGCGGCCGAUUAGCUUGUUGGUGGGGUAACGGCUCACCAAGGCGACGAUCGGUAGCUGGUCUGAGAGGACGACCAGCCACACGGGGACUGAGACACGGCCCCGACUCCUACGGGAGGCAGCAGCAAGGAAUCUUGCGCAAUGGGCGAAAGCCUGACGCAGCAACGCCGCGUGGGGGAUGAAGGCCUUCGGGUCGUAAACCCCUUUUGCUGGGGAAGCAACUGACGGUACCCAGCGAAUAAGCCACGGCUAACUACGUGCCAGCAGCCGCGGUA